UACGUAGGGUGCAAGCGUUGUCCGGAAUCACUGGGCGUAAAGGGCGCGUAGGUGGCGGCCCAAGUCCGUGGUGAAAGCUCGCCGCUUAACGGCGAGUCGGCCACGGAGACUGGGUGGCUCGAGCACUGUAGGGGCAGAUGGAAUUCCGGGUGUAGCGGUGGAAUGCGCAGAUAUCAGGAAGAACACCCGUGGCGAAGGCGGCUUUCUGGGACGGUACUGACGCUGAGACGCGAAAGCGUGGGGAGCGAACAGG
rnacentral:rRNA from 1 species